UACGAAGGGGGGCUAGCGUUGCUCGGAAUCACUGGGCUUAAAGGGUGCGUAGGCGGGCUGUCAAGUCUGGGGUGAAAUCCCACGGCUCAACCGUGGAACUGCCUUAGAUACUGAUGGCCUCGAGGAAGGUAGGGGGCAUGCGGAACUGUAGGUGGAGCCGGUGAAAUGCGUUGAUAUCUGGAGGAACACCGGUGGCGAAGGCGGCAUCCUGGACCGGCAUUGACGCUGAGGCGCGAAAGCCAGGGGAGCAAACGGG
rnacentral:rRNA from 1 species